rnacentral:tRNA from 1 species
CAGAUAGUAGUUUAAUUAAAAUGUUGGCAUUGGAAGCUAAUGAUCAAAGAAAUUUGUUAUCUGA